GACGAACGCUGGCGGCGUGCCUAAUACAUGCAAGUUGAGCGAUGAAGCUUGGUGCUUGCACCAAUUUGAAGAGCAGCGAACGGGUGAGUAACGCGUGGGGAAUCUGCCUUUGAGCGGGGGACAACAUUUGGAAACGAAUGCUAAUACCGCAUAACAACUUUAAACAUAAGUUUUAAGUUUGAAAGAUGCAAUUGCAUCACUCAAAGAUGAUCCCGCGUUGUAUUAGCUAGUUGGUGAGGUAAAGGCUCACCAAGGCGAUGAUACAUAGCCGACCUGAGAGGGUGAUCGGCCACAUUGGGACUGAGACACGGCCCAAACUCCUACGGGAGGCAGCAGUAGGGAAUCUUCGGCAAUGGACGAAAGUCUGACCGAGCAACGCCGCGUGAGUGAAGAAGGUUUUCGGAUCGUAAAACUCUGUUGGUAGAGAAGAACGUUGGUGAGAGUGGAAAGCUCAUCAAGUGACGGGAACUACCCAGAAAGGGACGGCGAACUACGG
rnacentral:rRNA from 1 species